rnacentral:lncRNA from 1 species
GAAAAGGCAAAACCAGCAGGGCCACCUCCCCCAGCCCCCAUCAAUCCAUUACUCCUCCUAGCAGGAAGCAUGGGAAUAACUAUUCCGAGUCAGAUUUUUCCCUUUUUUUUUUAUUUUUUUUUAUUUUUUUUUAAAUUUUCUUUUGGAACAAGCCCCUGCUUGGCACAGAGCAGCUUUUGUUGUUGUUUUUGUUUUGACUCAGGCCUGUGGUGCUACUGGACGAGGAGCUGAUCCUACGUGGACCUAUGUGAGGACAGCUAAGAGGAUUGGGAUCUUCCCAGUAAUUCCUGCAAAUAAUAAAAUAUCCCACAAAAAUGCUGGAAAAUAUGAAAAGGUCAAUGAAGCAGGGGAAAAGAGCGAUCCAAUGCUUUUUGUGUUGUGUUUUUUUUUCCUUCCCUUUAGGAACAAUGCAUUAUCUGAAAAUCCCACUUUAUAGCUUGGAAUUUGUUUUUGUGUUGGUGACUUUCAGUCACUGAAUAAAGUGCGACCACAGAAAUCGGACA